rnacentral:rRNA from 1 species
AGAGUUUGAUCCUGGCUCAGGACGAACGCUGGCGGCGUGCUUAACACAUGCAAGUGGAGCGACGAACCAGGGCUUGCCCUGGGGCAGAGCCGCGAACGGGUGAGUAACACGUGGGUAACGUGCCCCAAUGAUCGGGACAACCCGGGGAAACCCGGGCUAAUACCGAAUGUGCUCCCCUCACACCAGUGAGGGAUGGAAAGGAAGCUUCGGCCUCCGCAUUGGGAUCGGCCCGCGGCCCAUUAGCUUGUUGGUGAGGUAACGGCUCACCAAGGCUCCGAUCCGUAGCUGGUCUGAGAGGACGAUCAGCCACACUGGGACUGAGACACGGCCCAGACUCCUACGGGAGGCAGCAGUAGGGAAUCUUGCACAAUGGGCGCAAGCCUGAUGCAGCGACGCCGCGUGCGGGAAGACGGCCUUCGGGUUGUAAACCGCUUUCAGGAGGGACGAAGCCACUCGGGUUAAUAGCCCAGAGGGUGACGGUACCUCCAGAAGAAGCCCCGGCUAACUACGUGCCAGCAGCGGCGGUAAUAC